AACGAACGCUGGCGGCAUGCCUAACACAUGCAAGUCGAACGAGACCUUCGGGUCUAGUGGCGCACGGGUGCGUACCGCGUGGGAACCUGCCCUUAGGUUCGGAAUAACUCCCCGAAAGGGGUGCUAAUACCGGAUAAUGUCUUCGGACCAAAGAUUUAUCGCCUUUGGAUGGGCCCGCGUUGGAUUAGCUAGUUGGUAGGGUAAAAGCCUACCAAGGCGACGAUCCAUAGCUGGUCUGAGAGGAUGAUCAGCCACACUGGGACUGAGACACGGCCCAGACUCCUACGGGAGGCAGCAGUGGGGAAUAUUGGACAAUGGGCGAAAGCCUGAUCCAGCAAUGCCGCGUGAGUGAUGAAGGCCUUAGGGUUGUAAAGCUCUUUUACCCGGGAUGAUAAUGACAGUACCGGGAGAAUAAGCACCGGCUAACUCCGUG
rnacentral:rRNA from 1 species